rnacentral:rRNA from 1 species
UUGUUUGCAGUUUAAAAGCUUCGUUAGUUUGGAUUUUCGGAAGGUCCCUUUAGUAAUCCGCCCCUUUCGGGGAGCGGGUUGCUGGCCUCCUAUGUUCCUAACGGUCCUCAUCCGCGAGGGUGGGGAAUCAACCGCUAGGAUCGUUUACUUUGAGGAAAUUAGAGUGUUCAAAGCAGGCGUAACUCGCCUCCGAAUACGUUAGCAUGGGAUAAUGGAAUACGACUUCGGUCUUGUUUCGUUGGUUUCGCUUGGCUGAAGUAAUGAUUGAUAGGGACAGUUGGGGGCAUUAGUAUUUAGUUGUCAGAGGUGAAAUUCUAGGAUUUACUAAAGACUGACCAAUGCGAAAGCAUUUGCCAAGGAUGUUUUCAUUAAUCAAGAACGAAAGUAGGGGGAUCGAAGACGAUCAGAUACCGUCGUAGUCUCUACCGUAAACUAUGCCGACCAGGGAUCCGGAGAGUUUGCAUGGAUGACUCCCCGGGCACCUUGUGAGAAAUCAUAAGUGUUUGGGUUUUGGGGGGAGUAUGGUCGCAAGGCUGAAACUUAAAGGAAUUGACGGAAGGGCACCACCAGGAGUGGAACCUGCGGC